AUUUGUCAAUUUGUCAAUUUUUCAGAAGUCAGUAAUUUCAAUUGAAGAACUGUGAGUGUGCUGUCUUUUAGGGGUUUUUUUUGUUUGUUUUUUUAAUUUUGCCAAUAGUUUUAGAGAAAAAUUGAGGCGGGAAACGAGGAGGAAAGUUUUCAUAAUGUGCUGAAAUCUCAACUAAGGACGUUUGAAGCAGGCCACCUUAAGGCAAUGCCCUACAUGACCACAUGAGGGCGACAUACUCCUCAAAGCACCUUGUGUCAGACUGCCAAAGUGAAUCCCAUAGAAGAUUUUCAAGUACCUCAUGCAUCCCUCGCCCCAGGUUUGGAGGGUGGUGGUACGCCUACACAGUGUAACCUGGCUCAUGGCAGUUGGCAUCAUAGCACUCACAGGAGGUCCAAAGUCACGAUGAUACAGCAUUUUAGAGCAUCUCGCCGCCUUGAUGUAAUGCAUUUCCUGUUGAAAUUGGAUCUUAGGGUGGGGACACUACGCAGGAAAGCAUUGUAUGAAACAUUAAGGUAUCGGUGAGGGAAAGCAAAGCAGUUUUAUGUGAUGGGAGAGGUAGGGUAAUGUUCAAAAUUGUGUAAUGCUUUUAUAGGUAGGAUUUGUUGGACACAAUAAAUUGAACACUAAAGUUUCCAAUUACCAUGAGUUUCAAGAAAGAAAGUUUCACCUACCAUACCAUACAAGAGAAUAGUUUGUAAUUAACUGUACACUUAAAAGGACAGUAUGUUAGGUAUACCUAACUAAAACUAAUGUCUUGUCUUCAAGAAACCCUACCUGAAUCAAUGAAUGUUUUAAUGGUC